GCUAUCAGCAAGAAAGAAAUAGCUGCACACAAAUGAUUUCAGCUUCCCUCCCUGUCUCUCUGGAUUUAAGAACUGGAGUGGAGGUGAAAUCUUUCUCUGUGUGUUGCUUUCCCGUUUUAGCUCGGUCCUUGCACAGCCAGAUGCGAGCGCUGGGGCGAUACACUUCGUUGGGCUACCGGCGGGUGGCUGUGUAAACGAAAUGGGGUUCGGGGUUUCCAGCAAAGAUCGCUAAAAGUCUUGGCGAGUUAGCUCACCACAGUCUAACCCCUGACCAUCUUUGACGAGCCUAAAACUCCUGGGUCAGCAGAGAGAAAACUGACUACAGUGAUAACUCGAUCUGCCUUGCACGCUGAAUUUUCCUCAGCUCUCUACUUCCAGGUUUUAGCACACCAGCCUCUCGGUGUGUUUAUUUUUCUCUCUGUCUCCACGAGAGCUGCCUGCUUUUAACCUGCAAAAAAAACACACACACACACACAAAGACUGAGGAGGUGGAAGAAAUAUUUAAAAGAAAAUGUGAUGGCGAUGAGAAUUAACAAGAGAGCGGCGCUGGGGCAGCGAAGGAAUUAGAAUCAGAAACUUGCCCGAGAGCGGAGGUCUCGGUGUUUAGUGCCGUUGUUGUACAGAGACGGUGAGCGAUGUCUGCUGGAGGAACCGGUGUUUGCAUUGGGAAAGAGGAGGCGAGCGUGGUGCUGGUGGAUUCGGAGCCCGAAGAUGAGCGCACCGGCCGAGCUUUGCGAGAAGAGGAGGCGCCAGGCGGCGGCGCCCCCGCCAGCAGCAGACUGGGUGGACCCCGCUGCAAACAUGAGAGUGAGCGGCUCCGGGAGAGGCAGGCGGCCGCUACGUGCACCCCGAACAGCGGGCCCGCUCUGCAGAGCGAGCCGCCGCCGCAGCGCCCCCAGCCCGGGCUAACUACAGGCGAGAGGCUGCAGCAGCGGCGGCUGGAGGACGGCGCUUUCCCCGCCCCCCUGGGAGCUCUCUCCCUGCCCCCCGGCAUCAUCAUCAUGACCGCCCCCCUGCACUCGCCCGCGGCUCUAACCGACGGGGCGCUGCAGCUCGCCAGUCUGCCCGACUGCACUCUGCUCGCUCCCCCGGGCCCGGGCUCAGCACCAGGACCGGCCAAGAGGAAGAGAAAGAGGUGCGGGCUCUGUUCACCCUGCAGGAGGCUCAUCAACUGCGGCGAGUGCAGCAGCUGCCGGAACCGCAAAACCGGCCACCAGAUCUGCAAGCUGCGGAAAUGUGAGGAACUGAAGAAAAAGCCAGGCUCUUCACCAGAGCCUGCAGAGUGUUUCCAGCCGUUUUACCUGGGAGGUGAAAAAGCAAGGAAUUCACAGCUUUGGAAGAUCAUUUAAUAUUUGACCCAGUGCCAGGAAAAUCUUUGAAGUCGAAAUCAAGAUUGACGCAGGAGAAAUGUGCUUCUGUCAUUGAAACUGACAGGAAAUGAUCAGCAAUCGAGGGUAAUCGUCCCUGGUGGAGGGGAAGCUUUCAGGUGGUUCUUCUGAGAGUAACUGAGGAACUCUUCACAGCCUCAUGAAACACAAUUUGCCUCACGAGUUGAAAACCGGUUCUGCAUGUGUCCCUGAUGCAAGACACAAGUUUAUGCCAAUGGUUCCUAUAUGUUAUUCUAGUGGACAUGGUAGUUUUUAAGCAUCUUUGGUUUUAUGUGAAAACUACGUGCUGGUAUUAUUAGGGAUGAACUGUACAAAAAUGCAACUUGUAUUGUGUGAUGGAGAGAACUGGACAAUCAUUAUAACAUGUUACACAUUUGUGGCCAGUGCUCAUUUUAAAAAGAAACUUGUUUUUAAAGAUGGGGAUUUAGCAAUAAUCUGCAGUGCAGUUGUAUAGGUGAUGAGCAUGAUUUGUUAGCUAGUGAAGGAUAUAAUUGUUUUGCUAUGAGUGAAUUCUGUUUCUUCUGGGUUUCUGCAGUGUUUGCAUUUCUUAGCAUGUUCCCAGUUGUUGUUCGGCCAAUCUAUUAUCAGCUCCUUCUUCAUACUAACUGAUUGAGGAAUCUAACAAUGGUGUUAUAAUGUUAUUUGAAUUUCAAAGAUUAUGGACUUAUUCAUUAAUACAUGAAUAGUAAAGGCUGUUCUAUUGAGUAUAGUAAGAUCCACAGUCAGGUUAAUAGAAGAGGCUGCUGAUUGUAAAGAAAUCCCCUGAUCUCAAAGCAUUUGACUAAGUCGUUUGUUUAAGAAGUCACAUUUUGGUGAUCUUAAGGGCCAAAUAGGCUUUGUAGAAUUUGCCGUUUUAAGUUCUUUGACGUAAUCAGAAAUUAGCAACUGAUCUCAUAGGCGUUUCGCCAACUUUAGGUACAUUUAAGUUAUCAUUGGACAAGCAUAUGGACGUACAUGGAGUAGUGUAGGUUAGAUGGGCUUCAGAUCGGUAUGACAGGUCGACACAACAUCGAGGGCUGAAGGGCCUGUACUGUGCUGUAAUGUUCUAUGUUCAUUCAGGGACCAAUGUCAGCAAAAUGGGAAGAAAAUGUGCGUCACCGGUUACCAGGGCCACUUCCAUCGUGCAAAUGAUAGUACUGUAAAUAAGACAGAAUGUUCCUCUCUUUACGAUGAGAGCAUUGUUAUGGUUGUUUAAUCUCUCAGCUCCAUGCCAGAUUAUUGAUGCAAAAAGGGAUAAGGGGAGUCUGAUGGGUUACCGUCUUCACUUCUCAACUCGGAAAUCGAGGAUUCUGGCCCAGCUUCAAAGACUAGAAUGAAACCUUUUCUCUCGCACUGUCAACAACGAGCAGUUGGUACGCAAUAUGUUUGAGCAGCUUCUACAUGUUCACUUCUGAGACAAGUGAAACAUUACCCAUAAAUGGACACUUCAGAAAGAAUUUCACACUGAUGAGGUUGGAGGAAGGAUGAACAAUUUUCAGCAAAUUUAUUUGAAGGUGGCUCAGUGGUUAAUGCUGCUGUCACACAGCACCAGGUACCUGGGCUCGAUUCCACCCUCGGGUGACUGUGUGUGAAAUUUGCACAAUCUCCCUGUCUCUGCAAGGGUUUCCUCCAGGUGCUCCAGUUUCCUCCCCCGGUCAGAGGAUGUGCAGGAUAUGUGGAUUGGGCAAGCUAAAUUGCCCCUAGCAUCCAGGGAUGUGCUGAAUAGGUGGAUUAGCCUUGGGAAUUGCAGGGUUACAGGGAUUGGGUAGAGGCCUGGGUGGGAUGCUCUUAAGAGGGUUGGUGUGGACUCAGUGGGCCGAGUGACCUGGUUCCAUGCUGUAGGAAUUCUGUAAUUCAAGCCUGCUGUUCUGAUUUUGGCUUUUUGGUGCUCUUGUGACAUUGAGUCAAGGAAUGUUCAGACUGCUAUUGGUUCUGGUACAGCUCCCUCGGGAAGCUCUAGGUUUGAUAAUUCAGGUGACAAGUUAUCACUCAUCCCUCACUUUUAAUAAGUACUUGAAAUAUUCACCGUGCUCAAAGAAAACAACUGAUUUGCCCGCAGCUUGCCUUGAAUAAGGGGAUUAUUUUGAGGUUAAGCAAAAUCAAAAUUACCUUCACAGUUUUGUUCAUGCAGCCUGUUUGAUUUAAAACAAAAGUUUUGUUCAGAUAAAUUCAAGUUUUUAUUCAUUCAGCCAGAUGCUUACAAACAGUUGGGAGCUGAGGUUUCAGUUCAGAAGGUGAAAUGAAGCUGUAAAUCUGAACUGAAAUGAUUGGUACAGGAGGGUCGACAUCGUGAAAUAUUGCAUCUCGAAUGGGCGCUUUGUAAAUAAUGCUGCUCUGUGUAUUUUAGCUUUUCCUGCCUUUAUUUGUUCAGUCUUUUUAUGUCCCAGCCCCUGGGUACCGUUGCAAUACCGGCCCGCAGAUGCAUGUUUGCUGCCGGAGCUGCAUGCUACGUUGGUACUUCCCAAUUUUAUUUUCCCCUUUGACAAUGUUAUAAUUGAAAUCAAUUGUUGCUAAAUGUGGAUUUGUAUCCUGUCAGUGGCCCAUCCAGGCUGCAUCCAGAUAUCUGUGUGGUAUUGUUUUAUCAAUCUAAAACUAUUUUUGUAACUGAUUUUGUGAGUAGUUUAACAUGCACCUGAAUAAAGUGUGUUAUUAUGA